GGCUGUAAAAUGGGGGUGAUGAGUCCUACCGAGAAAUAGUGAGCAACAAAGUGGCUUCUGCUAACACUUCUGGGACCUGAGAAACACUGCGGGAAUCCUGACAAGCUUAUACUAGUGGACAGACUCCAGGAACCAUCGAGGUCCUCAGCCGACACGAUUGGAUCUGAUGCUUGAAUUCACCCAUAGUUAGAUCCACCAGCCCAGCUGAGACCUGAGCAUCUGGUUUUUUGGGGUACACAGCAGAUGCCUUGGGACAGUCGUCUGUGAAGAGAGGGGGAUGGAACGAGGACGAGUGAGUGCAUCAGCGCGAAGAGGAGCCUGGCAGGGACCAGUGAGGGAUGUUGAAGACUAUGAGGGACUCAAGCCUCUGCACUGAGUUCCAGAGAAUCCCCACAGCAACCACCAUGGGUGAAAAAUCAUGAUGAGAGAGAUUUCACAGCCUGGUUGUAAUGACUUGAUCAUUACAAGUCAUUGGUCAACGCCUGUCUUCCCUUCCAGGCCAGAGGUUGGCAUACUACAGCCCAUGAGCCAAA